GACGCGGAAGUGACGGUACCUGCAGAAGAAGCUCUUGCCAACUACGUGCCAGCAGCCGCGGUAAUACGUAGGGUGCAAGCGUUGUCCGGAAUUAUUGGGCGUAAAGAGCUCGUAGGCGGUUUGUUGCGUCGGCUGUGAAAUCCCGAGGCUCAACCUCGGGUCUGCAGUCGAUACGAGCAAACUAGAGUGUUGCAGGGGAGACUGGAAUUCCUGGUGUAGCGGUGAAAUGCGCAGAUAUCAGGAGGAACACCGGUGGCGAAGGCGGGUCUCUGGGCAACAACUGACGCUGAGGAGCGAAAGCGUGGGGAGCGAACAGGAUUAGAUACCCUGGUAGUCCACGCCGUAAACGUUGGGCGCUAGGUGUGGGGCUCAUUCCACGAGUUCCGUGCCGCAGCUAACGCAUUAAGCGCCCCGCCUGGGGAGUACGGCCGCAAGGCUAAAACUCAAAUGAAUUGACGGGG
rnacentral:rRNA from 1 species